UACGUAGGGUGCAAGCGUUGUCCGGAAUUAUUGGGCGAAAGAGCUCGUAGGCGCUUGUCGCGUCGGCUGUGAAAACCUGGGGCUCAACCCCGGGCCUGCAGCCGAUACGGGCAAGCUAGAGUUCGGUAGGGGAGACUGGAAUUCCUGGUGUAGCGGUGAAAUUCGUAGAUAUCGGGAGGAACACCAGUGGCGAAGGCGGCGACCUGGGCAGAUACUGACACUGAGGUGCGAAAGCGUGGGGAGCAAACAGG
rnacentral:rRNA from 1 species